UAGGAGCGGGGGUGCUGGGUUCGCGGUGCGUGUGGGCGGGGCGGAUCGCGACAGGAAGGAGGGCGCGCGGCCCAGCGAGGGACCCGGCGGGGGCUAUCGCGACAGGGGGCUGGUGUGCGCCGGCCCGGCGGGCUGUCGCGACGUGAGGGGUCCCGGGGAGCGGCCGUGAGCCGCUGCGACAGCAGCAGGGGUCCUCGUCGCCACUGAGGCGCUUCAGUGGGUAUCGCUGUCACGACGGGAGCCUCGUCCCCGCAGCCCGUCGCGCGCCGAGGGGCCCUGUCGCGGCUAUCGUGACAGCAGCGGGGCCGAUGGAUGCGGACGGAGCUCUGGACGUGGGCGCGCUGCGGGAGGAGCUGCGGGCGGCUGUGGCGGCCGACGAGAGGCACGCGAGGGAGAACGGCGCCAAGCUCCGCGCCGUGCGGCAGCGAGUGGGCUCCUACGAGGAGUUCAGAGCUCCCCCGGCAGCUCCGCCCCAGCCCGUUCCGCCGCCGUUGUCCCUCCCCGGGCGCGGGACCCCACGCUUGCCGCUGCUGGGCGGCCCGGUGCUCCUCUCCGCCUGCCCAGGUGUCGCUGAGCGGCGGCUCCCGGUGUGCCACGCGCUCCUCCGUCCAUCGCAGAUUUGUGAUCUGGGAUGGCAGGGAUGCUCCUUGGGGCAGGAGCGUGGGGCGCUCCCAGCGUCCUCCACCACGUCCCCAUCCCCUGACAUCCACAGAAAGAUCUGUAGGUGGAUCCAGGACUUGACCACCCCAUGACGGACUCAUCCAUCGCUACAGCGCGUGGCGCUGAGAGCCUCGCUCUGCCUGAACGGCCAGCAGGGGCAGGGAGGUGGUGGUCCCCCUCUACUCAGCUCUUGUGAGGCCCCAUCUGCAGCACUGUGUCCAGGCCUGGGGGCCCCAGUACAAGAAGGACACAGAGCUCUUGGAACGAGCUCAGAGGAGGCCACCAAGAUGAGCAGAGGCUGGAACACCUCUCCUGUGAGGAAAGGCUGAGGGAACUGGGCUUGUUGAGCUUGGAGAAGAGAAGGCUCCAGGGAGACCUCGUUGUGGCCUUCCAGUACUUGAAGGGAGCGUAUAAACAGGAGGGGGAACGAUUGUUCACGAGGGUGGAUAGUGGCAGGACAAGGGGGAAUGGUUUUAAACUGAGACAGGGGAGAUGUAGGUUAGAUAUUAGGAGGAAGUUUUUCACUCCGAGGCUGGUGAGGCACUGGAACAGGUUGCCCAAGGAGGUUGUGGAUGCCCCGUCCCUGGAGGCAUUCAAGGCCAGGCUGGA
rnacentral:lncRNA from 1 species